rnacentral:lncRNA from 1 species
GAGUCCUUCCUUUUGAACUCUAUCAAGGAUUCAGCUGCUGCCAUGGCGGUGGCCAGGUCUUACACCCCUCUUCGUUGGAGUUCCAUUUUGGCCCAUGGGGAGAGACCAUCAAGGAAACAGAAGAGAGCAUCCUUCUCCCCCAUAUCAGGUAUCUCCAACAUUAAUUCAGAAAAUUCUUUGACAUAGUCGCGAAUGUUACCUUCUUUAUGUUGGAGGUGUCGAAGCUUGGCGCGUGCCUCGCUUUUAGCAUUUUCUGGAUAUAAUUGCCUCUUCAGCUCCUUGGUGAAGUCUUCCCAAGUGUUAAUGGUGCAAGUCC